rnacentral:tRNA from 1 species
CGGGCAGUAGGAUAGUGGCUAUUCCGCGUGGUUCGGGACUACGAAAUCGCGGGUUCAACUCCCGCCUGCCCGA